AAACCUUUCGUGGGAGAGGUCCCGCCCUGAGCGGGACGCCGAAGGAGCAACCGCCCCGGAAUCUCUCAGGCAGAAGGACCGCGAAAGGGUC
rnacentral:ncRNA from 2 species